GACGUAGGGCGCGAGCGUUGUCCGGAUUUAUUGGGCGUAAAGAGCUCGUAGGCGGCUUGUCGCGUCGUCCGUGAAAACCUGCAGCUCAACUGCAGGCUUGCGGUCGAUACGGGCAGGCUGGAGUUCGGUAGGGGAGACUGGAAUUCCUGGUGUAGCGGUGAAAUGCGCAGAUAUCAGGAGGAACACCGGUGGCGAAGGCGGCCCGCUGGGCAGGAAGAUGGAGCAAUCCAUCGGCUGACGCUGAGGCGCGACAGCGUGGGGAGCAAACAGG
rnacentral:rRNA from 1 species